UUGCUAAUGCUAAUCGUGAUAGGAGUGUUUUUUUUUUUAAUCUCUGACAGACUCCUAUGUGUUAGCAAUAACAG
rnacentral:pre_miRNA from 14 species